rnacentral:rRNA from 1 species
AACGAACGCUGGCGGCAUGCCUAACACAUGCAAGUCGAACGAGACCUUCGGGUCUAGUGGCGCACGGGUGCGUAACGCGUGGGAACCUGCCCUUAGGUUCGGAAUAACUCCCCGAAAGGGGUGCUAAUACCGGAUAAUGUCUUCGGACCAAAGAUUUAUCGCCUUUGGAUGGGCCCGCGUUGGAUUAGCUAGUUGGUAGGGUAAAAGCCUACCAAGGCGACGAUCCAUAGCUGGUCUGAGAGGAUGAUCAGCCGCACUGGGACUGAGACACGGCCCAGACUCCUACGGGAGGCAGCAGUGGGGAAUAUUGGACAAUGGGCGAAAGCCUGAUCCAGCAAUGCCGCGUGAGUGAUGAAGGCCUUAGGGUUGUAAAGCUCCUUUACCCGGGAUGAUAAUGACAGUACCGGGAGAAUAAGCUCCGGCUAACUCCGUG